rnacentral:rRNA from 1 species
GACGAACGCUGGCGGCGUGCCUAAUACAUGCAAGUAGAACGCUGAAGCUUGGUGCUUGCACCGAGCGGAUGAGUUGCGAACGGGUGAGUAACGCGUAGGUAACCUGCCUGGUAGCGGGGGUUAACUAUUGGAAACGAUAGCUAAUACCGCAUAAGAGUAGAUGUUGCAUGACAUUUGCUUAAAAGGUGCAAUUGCAUCACUACCAGAUGGACCUGCGUUGUAUUAGCUAGUUGGUGAGGUAACGGCUCACCAAGGCAACGAUACAUAGCCGACCUGAGAGGGUGAUCGGCCACACUGGGACUGAGACACGGCCCAGACUCCUACGGGAGGCAGCAGUAGGGAAUCUUCGGCAAUGGACGGAAGUCUGACCGAGCAACGCCGCGGGAGUGAAGAAGGUUUUCGGAUCGUAAAGCUCUGUUGUAAGAGAAGAACGAGUGUGAGAGUGGAAAGUUCACACUGUGACGGUAUCUUACCAGAAAGGGACGGCUAACUACGUG